UACGGGGGGGGCAAGCGUUGUUCGGAUUCACUGGGCGUAAAGGGCACGUAGGCGGCUCGGCAAAUCGGUCGUGGAAUCUCGACGCUUACCGUCGAAACGGCGGCCGAAAAUACCGGGCUCGAGGGCGUGAGGGGUCACUGGAACUCCUGGUGAAGCGGUGAAAUGCGUAGAUAUCAGGAGGAACGCCGGAGGCGAAAGCGAGUGACUGGCGCGUUCCUGACGCUGAGGUGCGAAAGCUAGGGGAGCAAACAGG
rnacentral:rRNA from 1 species